UACGUAGGGUGCAAGCGUUGUCCGGAAUUAUUGGGCGUAAAGAGCUCGUAGGCGGUCUGUCGCGUCGGAUGUGAAAACCCGGGGCUCAACCCUGGGCCUGCAUUCGAUACGGGCAGACUAGAGUUCGGUAGGGGAGACUGGAAUUCCUGGUGUAGCGGUGAAAUGCGCAGAUAUCAGGAGGAACACCGAUGGCGAAGGCAGCUCGCUGGGACGGUACUGACGCUGAGGCGCGAAAGCGUGGGGAGCAAACAGG
rnacentral:rRNA from 1 species